UACGUAGGGGGCAAGCGUUGUCCGGAUUUAUUGGGCGUAAAGAGCUCGUAGGCGGCUCAGUAAGUCGGGUGUGAAAACUCCAGGCUCAACCUGGAGACGCCACCUGAUACUGCUGUGGCUAGAGUCCGGAAGAGGAGAAUGGAAUUCCAGGUGUAGCGGUGAAAUGCGCAGAUAUCAGGAAGAACACCCGUGGCUAAGGCGGUUCUCUAGUACGGUACUGACGCUGAGACGCGAAAGCGUGGGGAGCGAACAGG
rnacentral:rRNA from 1 species